UCUCUUCCCAAUCAUCAAGCAUGCUAUUUGCCUCAAGCUGGAUAGGCUGUUGAGAUAUAGCACCAGGAAGACCACUACCAGUUGUGGCGUCAUUGGAAAAUACAUCAGCUGGUUGCCCUGCAAUUAGCAGACAUAAUGUCCGCAAAGGUGAUCCUGCUACCAGCUGGCGAAGUGCCAUUUGCUUCACAGUAUCAACAUAGAACUGAUCACCGAGCUGUGAUGCAAGAACAAGCGCAGGUCCCCACAACUGGCCUACUUGUGCACGCUGUAAAGCCUCCUUUUUUCUACCAGAAACCAGAAGAUUUUGUACCUCAGAAGCAGUUGCCUGAAUUUGUCCUUCAGAUGGCACACUCUGCAAGCAGUGGCUGAAAGCACCAUAAUCACUGAAUUGUGCGCCAUUUCUCCUGGCAGAUGCAAAAAGUUUUGCAACUGCGGAUUCUGGAGCAUCACUCUCCUACCAAAAAUAAUUACAUACUUAUUUCUAUAUCUGGCUUUCCAACAAUAUCAUCACAAAGGAAAAAUUAUAAACCCAUAUUGGGAUGACGUGUUACACACACAGACCCCAACAAAAACAAAGGGCUAAGGAAUUCAGAUUGGAGAUGUAUUAAAAAAACAGAGCAAAUUAACCCAAAAUUCUCACGAGCUAUAGUCCUGUCAUUUGCUGGACCGAUCAUCUUUCUAUUUUAGACCUUAAUAGCCCUUCAACUCUUUUCCAUCUAAAUCUUUCACUGAUAAUUCAUGGAAUGAAAUGUGCAUACUUCAUUCAUUCAAACGUCAUUUCACCCUCAGUGAACUUGAAAGAGUCUUCCAGAGCAUGAUAUUCCGAAUUUCUUUUAGAGAAACAUCACAUACAACAUAUAAGGAACAUCAAAAGGGGAGAAUCUAAGAGGAAAAAAGAGAAAAUACAUUAUACUGGGAGUGCUCAGGUUGGGGAGGAUGGGGACAUAUAUAUUAGAGUUUCUGCCAAAAGGCUCCCACAAAAGGGCAGUUAUUGAAGUAGAUGAGAUGCAUUGUAAGAAGUGGUUCUUUCAACAUCUCACAGCUCACAAUGGACCAUGAAAGAAUUUAUGUAAUAUGACAACUUGCAUGUUGAUGAAUGUAAUGAACUCUUAUGAACCAGGAGGAGGUCAUUUACAACACCCAUUCACAAAGGGUGCAUGAAAAAUAAAAAACGUUUUUAACACAGAACAUACAUGCAAAUAUAUGUAAGUCUUCUUCCUUUGUCAUAAUGCCUUGCCUAAGUGAAACUAUGUAGAAAAGAUACAUGAAUAUUCAUAGAGUCAACGAUGAAAUAAGAUUCAUGUUACAAUAAAAAUAAAUGGAAAAGAUAGAUGUGAUUCACCUUCAAAGAAGCAUCAAUACCAAAAGGAGAUCGAAGUUUUCCAUAAUGUUGACAAGCAAUUUUAAGCAAAGAGAGAAGCAACUUCAGUACUCCGCCUUUUCUAUAAUCAAUGUCAGGUGAUUCACAAUUGGCAAUUCUAUCAUCAAUCCACUUAUUCAACUCUUUACUUCCAACAUUGCCUCCCAACAGUGGACCUGGAAAGGAUUGUUGGCAGAGAGCACGAAAAUAAUUACAUGUGCUCCCUGCAAUAUUUAGAGCAUUGUUCGUAUUUCCUGUGAUAACCUCCAUCAAAUUCAGAACAGACAUUGAGCCUCCUAUAAGUUCCUGACUUGCGAAUGAUGCAUUCCCCAGAGAACUUGAACUGCCAUUUUUCAUUACUAUGAGCUUUCCACCAAAUCCAAACGUAACCAAGGCAUGUGGAGGACGCCCAGCAGAUGACAUCCCAGUUUUGGGAGCAUAAGAAAACUGCUGGUUGUUAUGAAAUGAUUUCGGCACAAAAUCUGCUGGUUUCUGGCUGCUAUAGUAAUCAUUUGCAAUGUUAAUUUGUUCAUUCUGCUUCACAGUUCCCCGAUUAAACUGCUGACCAAAGUUCCCACUAGGUAUAAAAUUUUGUGAUCCUACAAACCCAUUAGGAUCCACAGGACCCUGACUCAGUUCGUCGUAUGAAAGAACUGAUCCCAGAGAAUUAGGAGAUUUGUGCUGCUCCAAAUGAUUGUUCAUGGACACAUUUGAAUCAUAGGAAUUAUGCAAUUGCUGGUUUGUAUCAAAAUUUGAAACAGUAUUAGUCUUAGCAACAGUAUCAGGUUGCCACAUAUUCAAACCUUGCUGAUUGUAGUCACCAUAAGACUCACCCCAGCGACCAUGCUUGUCUUGGUCAUUAUAGCCUUGUGACUCAUACUUGUCAGCUUGCUCAUAUCCACUAUAAAUACUGUUGCUAUUCUGAGAAUAUGAAUCAGCAAAGGCAAAUUCAUUUUGUUUCUGCUGAUCAUGGUUUUGAACAGUUGCUGAUUGAACAGAUGACGUGUAGCUUUCCAGGGAGCGCCACUCCUGCACCAUUGUGUCAUAAUACCAACCAGGAUAUUGAGGAUCAAAAACCAUAUGCUCUGGGUAACCAUUAUUAGUCCCCUGAGAUACCUGAUUCCAAGUAGACACACUCUCAGAUGAGCUAUUCUCAGCCACAGUUCCAACCACAGAUUGUGAAGUCUGCUGCAAAUAAUUCAUUUCUAUUUGCCCAUCCGAAACUGCCGCCAAUUCAUUUGCUGCAUUAACAUUAGAACUCCCUUGGACACUUGCCGUUACAUCAAAAUUAUCCACUUGAUACCACUGCCCUGUGUUGACAUCAUAUUUCCACCCAGGAUACAUGUUCUCCCAACACUGCUUGUUAUUCAAAUCCUGCCAAUUUACACUCUCUUCAAUGGAUCCUCCAUAACUUUGUGUGCUAUCUUGAUAUUCCCCAUAACUGACUGAAUUAUGCAAUCCGUCACCAUCCUUUUUCUCUAAAUUAGAGGCUUCAUCAACUUUCCCAGGAAAAUCCCCUGACAUAUCUCCCAAAUCAUUAAAAAAAUCUGUAUAUGUACCAAAUUCAUGAUUUCCAUUAGGUACAGAAUCAGCAUAAAAUGAACUCCACCCCACCUCCUUAGCCCCUGAUUUUGUGGAUGCGCUAGUUUUACUUAUUACUGGGUCCAAUACUAUAGUUGAGUCAAAAAAUGAUGGGAUUGAAUCAGAGGCUGUAUU
rnacentral:misc_RNA from 1 species